GUUUAUGAGGUCGUCUGGGCGGCGGGUAGCGGGGUGGGACUCCGCGUCGGGGAGAGGCAGCCUGCGCAGGGCCGAGGGGCGGCCGGGAGCCGGGCUCCGGGAUUGCUGCGGGGGACGGCAGUUGCGCCACAGCGUCGGUGUCCUCGUACCGGCGCCGUGCCCUUGGAACGAGGGCAGGACCGCGGGCAGCGCCGGGCCAGCGCGGAGCCCCUCCACGCUGCUGCGCUCCUGCGUCCCUGGCCCUCGGGCCAGGUGGGGAUAAUUUCUCGGCCCCCAGCGGCUGCGUUUCGGGCGUGGGCGAUGCGCCCUUUUCGGUGGGACGCAGCUGACUUGACCGUCUGGGAGAAGCAGUGCAAGGAAAUUGAUCUAGGGCUGCGCCUACUCUUCCUUCCCUCUCCCAGCAGGGUGGUUGCUUACCGGCUUGUGCCAGGCGGUUUGGUUUUGGCGGGGAUGCGGCAGAGGAGGCCCUUUGAGCCGCCCGAGGCCGGGGCGAGUUCAGAAUUGGAGAAGUCAGUCUGGUUCCCCAGUGUGAUCUUGGAGUGACAAGAGUUGGCCAUGUGCCCUCAAGUCACUGCAUCUCAGGCCUGCCCUCUCUGCCGCCAGGGUCGAUGGAAGUCCUGGGAAACCCAAAGGCUACAGGUGUUGGAAAUUUGUAGAUUUAAGGGCUCACACAGGCAACGGUUAGCGCUCAGGGAUUUUCCAGCGGCGCUUUUGACGCUGCCUUCCAUCUCCGGGCCCAGUGCUCCCCUGCCCCGCGCUGAGCUGUCUCCCACUCGCUACCGGCGAUGGGGAAGGGACAUCUGGGGAGAGGACAGGGGACGCCCUUAGUUUUUGAAGGCUGUGGAAGGACCCAUGAGUUUCACAGGUGUAACUUGAAGUUGGAAAGCGAGGGCCAAAGAACUGGUCUAUAUCUCUCCCUUUAGCCUCUUGCCACAUUUUAUACUAGAACGAUCUACAGAAGCGAUUUGAAGAGAAGGGGUGUGCCCUCAGGAGGAUGGGAUAGAGAUAAAGUGUGAACUUACAAACCUGGCAGAGAGCAGGCACCUGGGAUGCAGUGGGCUGGUGGAAGAAAGAUGGCCUCAGUACUCCCAUCGAAGUAACAGUAUGUUCCAGGAUGCAGUUGGAAAUUAGGUUGGAAUGGAUGGGAUCUAACAGGAACAGCUCUUGGAAGGAUGGGCUAUCUCAUUAGUACCUUACAACUUCCAAUGCAUUGUCACAUAUUGGAGUUGGGACCAGGGUGAGGCAAAAGAGGCCUUUAAGAGUCAUGCAAGUACACUGGCCUCUGUCCUGCCACAUGCCUUAUCUCACGUAAUACCCAUCUGACCCUUGUCUGGCUAUUUAGUUGGUUUCGGGGUGGAGAGAGCAGGGGAGGUAAGGAGCAGAGAUGGGAGAGAGGACAAGCUGGCAGAGACUCUUUCUCUAUGAAAAGCCUUGCCUGAGUCACUCCUUCCCUCACACUUGCAUGUUACUCCAUCCAAACGAAACCAGCCCCUUUUGUGACUUCACAAAAUCUAUACUCACACUCCCUGUCACUGAACUCCAGGUCCAGAAAACUAUGCCCCCUGUGUUUGGCUUUAGGCCAAUGUCGUGAGAUAUUCCACACAGACAUGUGCUGUAUCUUCUUUUAAAUGUUGUGACUUUUGACCCCACAAAUCUAGAAUUUGUCAUCUUUCAAAAAGAGUUCUGUGAUUUCUUUUUUUUUUUUUUUUUUUUUUUGAGGCAAGAGUCAAACUUUUUUUCCUCCUUGAAUUCCUAAGUGCUUGCUGGUAAGAAGGAUGCAGUUUUAAAGAACCCCAGCUUCUCCAUUCCUCACACCUGUAUACUGAUGACUUGGAGACUAACAUCUUCCAUUGCUAGGCUUAGGAAUGAAGUUUUGCCUCUGAAGGGAGUUGUGCAUUUGUAACUGUCAUUCAACCAAUGGUGAAAGAGUCACUGGUCCAGGGCCAAUGUGCUCUGCUGCCUCCGGGAAAGCAUAAGACAUCAGUCUGUGGAAGAGGGCACUGGUGGUUUCCUUCCCUCCAAGAGGACAUAGUUCAGUUGGGUACAUACUGCAUUUCCCAGAUUUUGAAUACACACGUUUUAAGGCUUCCAAAAUCAGGUAUCUUUUGACAUGGUAAUUCCUUUUCCUCCCCCAAUUUUUAAUUUGGUAAAUAUGUACAAUUUAUAUGCUCUUAACAUUUUUAAAUUUGAAAAUCGAGAGCAAAAUCUUAUAGCCUAAACAACAGGAGUGGUAAGAAUUUGGUGGUGGUGAACAACCAGAAAAUCUGGAGUCCCAGCCAUGUCCACUGCUAGGACCCAGAGAAGCCUAGCCUGGACUGGCCCAGCUGCCGGGCUGAUGAGUGUGACCUCUGAGGUGAUAAAAUAACACCCAUGUGGGAGGAAUGGCCAAUAAGAAGGACAUGCCAGCCCCACCUUAGAAAAAGGCAUGAGUAGAAAUGAAGGUGCUAUAUCACUAAAAAUGAUGACAUUGGGCCCCAAGCAUCCGAUUUUCUCUGGCACCUGGCUAAGACAGGCAUAGAGGACAGGGCCGGUUGGGGUGUAGUCAGAGACACCCUCCCUAUUCUGUGGCAUUGCUUUGGCCUGUAGCAAAGUGUUAAAAUGGGACUCUUCCUACUUCAGUUUCAACUGAGUUCCCAAGACAAUCAAUGCCAGCUACUCCCACUUCCAAAAUGCGGAACACAAGAGCUCCUUGAAAAUGAUUUUGUGUACCUUCUCCAGCCACUGUCCACCUCAAGGAAAGUGCAUGGAUUGAUACAGAAGAGGACUCAAAGUUGGAGUUCUAGGAUUGAGUUGUCAACAUUGUGAUCAGUUUUCCUCCCCAUACCAUGGAGAGAGGACAUGCCUUGCUCCUGUCUCUUAAGUCCAGUGACUAGGGCUUACCUGAGACCACACACAGAGCUUGAUAUCUGUCCCUGGAGCUUGUGGAACACAGGAGACUGCCCACUGGUGAGCAGCUGGCUGAAGAGGCCUAUUGUAGAGGACAUUUCCAUUUGGAAGUCACUCCCUCUUGCCUAUAUCAUGGCAAGGGAGUGUGUGGCAGAUUGAGUUUCCUGGAAGAUGACUCUGAGGGGGAAGAUUAGCAUGAGGAAGGUUUAUUAGAGUGCUCUUGGGAUAGCACCCAGAGGAGGAAAGGAGAAGAAGCAGGAUCAGAGAGAAGUGGACCCCCACUGCCCGGAUCUGAAGCUGGGAUGGCCCUUCAGAGUUGUCCCAAGGCAGAGUCAAGGGGCCUUUCUACCCCUGCCAUAGAUUGGUCAUUGUUCCUGGCUGACCUUGGGGAAAGGCUGUGACCUUGAGCAACAGCAUCUGGGGGAAUGUGUCCUUCAUUCCUAAGGGGAGAUCUGGGCAGGGAUCACAGGGUCCAGUAUGGCAUAUGGCAUGCAGGUACCAGAUGUGGAAACUGCAAGAAGAAUAACCACCUAGGGCCAGGCACAGUGGCUCACAUCUGUAAUCCCAGCACUUUGGGAGGCUGAGGCAGGCAGAUAACUUGAGGUCAGGAGUUCGAGACCAGCCUGGCCAACAUGGUGAAACCCUGUUUCUACUAAAAAUACAAAAAUCAGCCAGACAUGGUGGUGGGUGCCUGUAAUCCCAGCUACUCAGGAGGCUGAAGCAGGAGAAUCACUUGAACCUGGGAGGCAGAGGUUGCAGUGAGCCGAGAUCACACCACUGCACUCCAGCCUGGGCAACAGAGACUCCACCUCAAAAAAAAAAAAAAAAAAAGAAUAACCACCUAGAAUUAAAGGAAAAAAAAAUUUAGAGAUGAGGGUCUUGCUAUGUUGCCCAGGCUGGAGUGCAGUGGCUAUUCACAGGUGUGAUCAUGGCACAUUGUAGCCUUGAACUCCUGGGCUCAAGAACUUCUCCUGCUUCAGCCUCCCAAGUAGCCACUGUGCCCAGCAAUUUUUAAGGGGACUCUGUCCACAUGGGCUUCUUCAAAAAGACCUUGGCAGAAAAAGGUGGAGGCCCAACUGGAGAUAGAGGCUGAAGGAGGACCAUAAGUGACCAGCUGAAGGAGAGGCCCCUUUGGACUCUUGAAGACUGCAGUCCCAGGGGACCAAGAGGGUUCCAUACAAGGUGACAAAGGUACCAAAGAGGGAAGCACCAGCCAUGGCCAGGGAAGGUCAAAGAGAUACUUCAUCCAUGCUAGAAACAAAGGAUGGAAGGAGGAUGGAAGGAGGGAGAAAAAGAAGGAGGGAGGAAGGAAGGGAAGGAUCAAGGGAAGGAGAGAAGGAAGGAAGGAAGGAAGGCAGACAGAGAGGCAUCUCCUACUCCUUGUUUUUUAUUCUCCCUCCUACUCUACAGGGGCCAAGGUGAGGCUAGUAAGGGGAUGGGGUAGAGGUGCUAAAUGGGAAAAUGUCUUGGCGUCCUCAAUGCCUAGCAGGGAACCUGGCAUAAAAUGGACACUCAAAAAAUAAUAUACGAAGAAUGAGGAAAAUCUUUGCCCCUUUAUGAUUCCCAGUGACUGUGUAAGGGCCUUCUAUAUCUGCAUCAUUCUGGGGACUGAAUGUGGGUCCUUCCAAAGUCAUGGUGUUAUAGAACAGUGAUACAGGGGUGAUGUCUAAAGCACACACUGAAGUAUCCCCAGACGCACCUGCACAUACACACAUGUACAUGCUCAUGUACCUACCUGGUGCCAAGCUCAGAAAUAGGGUUCUACACAAACCUCACUGGAAACUUUUCAUUUCUCUUCAGUGCAUACCUCAGUCUUUGCCCUUUGAAGAAAACCAGGGAUGCAAUGCUGAGAAUGUGACUGUAAAUACUUCAGAUUUUAAACUCCGAGGAUUUUCUCUUGGUCUCCUCAGAGGGUUGUAGUCUGUGGUGUAUGGAUCCUGGGGUUUCAAGGCCAUCUGGCCCCUGUGUGCUCAAUGAUCUACCCCAGUGGAAGGAAGACGAGAAACAGACAUUUCAAAACCUUUAGGCAAUGGGUCUUGGCCUGAGACAGAGUUUCACUUUGUCGCCCAGGCUGGAGUGCAGUGGCGCAAUCUCCACUCACUGCAACCUCCGCCUCCUGGGUUCAAGUGAUUCUUGUGCCUCAGCCUCUUGAGUAGCAGGGAUUACAGGCACGCACCACCAUACCUGGCUAACUUUUUGUAUUUUUAGUAGAGGCAGGGUUUCACCAUGUUGGCCAGGCUGGUCUCGAAAUCUUGGCCUCAAGUGAUCCACCCACCUCAGCCUCCCAAAGUGCUGGGAUUACAGAUGUGAGCCGCCGCACCCAGCCAGCAUGCCCUAUCUUAAUUGUUAAUUUUCUAUGAUAGCAGAUUAGCUCUCCUAAUUACUUCUAUCUUAGGCUAGAUUAAAAUGCAUCCUGAUCAGAUAGUAAUUUAUGGUGAAGAGAUGCCUUCUGGCCUAAAAACAUGCCAGGGGUAAAUCUCUAAGUAGAUGACCUCAAGGCAGAGAACCCAGAGUGCACUGUGUAUGAAAGAAUUACGGAGUGAAGUUCAUGUGCCCAAGGUUUUAAAGAAUAAUUAAGAGCCUAAUUAUAAGAGUACUGAAAAGAGCCAUACACAAUUCCAAGUUAGCUUUGCCUGUUAAGAGUAGAAAGCUCAUUUUAUAAGUAAUAAAACGAUGGUGUUUACACAAUGCAGCUUUCCAAUUUCCUUUUCAAAUUCCACUGUGCUUGAGGCACCAUCCCCUUUGACUGCAUGCAUUCUGAUCUUUGUUGAAUUAAUUUCAUCUAGUAAUUCUUCUACUCAUUGGCAUCUAUUGACUGUCCAGUCCAUAUGCAUGGAUGUGGUUGAAACUCAG
rnacentral:lncRNA from 1 species